AGUGAACGCUGGCGGUAGGCCUAACACAUGCAAGUCGAACGGCAGCACAGUAAGAGCUUGCUCUUACGGGUGGCGAGUGGCGGACGGGUGAGGAAUACAUCGGAAUCUACUUUUUCGUGGGGGAUAACGUAGGGAAACUUACGCUAAUACCGCAUACGAUCUACGGGUGAAAUCAGGGGAUCUUCGGACCUUGCGUGAUUGAAUGAGCUGAUGUCGGAUUAGCUAGUUGGCGGGGUAAAGGCCCACCAAGGCGACGAUCCGUAGCUGGUCUGAGAGGAUGAUCAGCCACACUGGAACUGAGACACGGUCCAGACUCCUACGGGAGGCAGCAGUAGGGAAUAUUGGGCAAUGGGCGCAAGCCUGAUCCAGCCAUACCGCGUGGGUGAAGAAGGCCUUCGGGUUGUAAAGCCCUUUUGUUGGGGAAGAAAAGCAGCAGGUUAAUAUCCCGCUGUUCUGACGGUACCCAAAGAAUAAGCACCGGCUAACUUCGUG
rnacentral:rRNA from 1 species